UACAGAGGGUGCAAGCGUUGUUCGGAAUUACUGGGCGUAAAGCGCGUGUAGGCGGUUUGGUAAGUCAGACGUGAAAUCCCUUGGCACAACUGAGGAACUGCGUCUGAUACUGCCUGACUCGAGUGUCGGAGGGGAUGGUGGAAUUCCCGGUGUAGAGGUGAAAUUCGUAGAGAUCGGGAGGAACACCCGUGGCGAAGGCGACCAUCUGGAAGACAACUGACGCUGAGAAGCGAAAGCGUGGGUAGCAAACAGG
rnacentral:rRNA from 1 species